rnacentral:sRNA from 1 species
UGGUCGCGGGAAGGCUGGACCUGUUCUGGCUUGCACCGGGAUCUACGCCCUCCUGCCAGAGGCUGGCUCUCGCCUCUCCUCCCUUCCUCGAUUCUGCGCCGUCACCCCUCACCCACGCCGCUUAUUUUCCCUCCCUUUGCACACUCCCAUGGGACAGGCAGAGUUACAGGCUUAAGACUUUAUCUCAUUGUGGAAAGCAAGAGACGAAGCCAAAAACUUUGGUCGUGCUUUUCAACAUCUCUGGUCAAAAGAGGUCGCCAAUCUGGUUUUCUCCCAUUGCUGCAUGAUAGAGGGGUUUGGUGCCAUGAUACCACUUUUAAAAAUCCUGUUGAAUGCAAGUCCUCUUUGUUGCUCAUUGAACAAUGAGGAUAUUUAGCUCCCCUCAGAGCUACCCUCAGAGUUGGAUGAGCUAUCCUCAGAGUUGGAUGCCACCACCAGGAGCAGCAAAAGCGAAGGCAAUCAUGAUUCUGCCUCAGAAGCAAUCGAAUAAAAUAUUUUGAAAAUGAG